rnacentral:rRNA from 1 species
CCUACGGGUGGCAGCAGUAGGGAAUCUUCCACAAUGGGCGAAAGCCUGAUGGAGCAACGCCGCGUGGGUGAAGAAGGUCUUCGGAUCGUAACACCCUGUUGUUAGAGAAGAAAGGGCGUGAGAGUAACUGUUCACGUUUCGACGGUAUCUAACCAGAAAGCCACGGCUAACUACGUGCCAGCGACCGCGGUAAUACGUAGGUGGCAAGCGUUAUCCGGCUAUAUUGGGCGUAAAGGGAACGCAGGCGGUCUUUUAAGUCUGAUGUGAAAGCCGUCGGCUUAACCGGAGUAGUGCAUUGGAAACUGGGAGACUUGUGUGCAGAAGAGGAUAGUGGAACGCAAGGUGUAGCGGUGAAAUGCGU